AAAAUAAGAUAUAAAAAAAAAAAAUUUCUAAACGUAAAUUACCUGAUUUAAAGGACAUUAAAAUUUACAAUAGACAUCACAAGACAAGAUAGGGUGCUCUGGCACUGAAUGUGGCACUCAUCGCUUGGCUACACUAUAAACGGGUGAGGGGCAUCACAUUUUCACCUGAUUUAGCAUGAUAUUCAUGCUUAAAGAAGAGAUUAAAAGUUUAAAGUACUAACCUUUGUGGUGACCCAACUUCAAGCUUCCUAAACUUCAACUUUUCUCCUCUUUAUGGGUAUCUAUAGCUUCCUUAGGGUG
rnacentral:misc_RNA from 1 species